GGGGGUUAGCGUUGUUCGGAAUUACUGGGCGUAAAGCGUACGUAGGCGGAUUAGUAAGUUAGAGGUGAAAUCCCAGGGCUCAACCCUGGAACUGCCUUUAAUACUGCUAGUCUAGAGUUCGAGAGAGGUGAGUGGAAUUCCAAGUGUAGAGGUGAAAUUCGUAGAUAUUUGGAGGAACACCAGUGGCGAAGGCGGCUCACUGGCUCGAUACUGACGCUGAGGUACGAAAGUGUGGGGAGCAAACAGGAUUAGAUACCCUGGUAGUCCACACCGUAAACGAUGAAUGCCAGUCGUCGGGUAGUAUACUAUUCGGUGACACACCUAACGGAGUAAGCAUUCCGCCUGGGGAGUACGGUCGCAAGAUUAAAACUCAAAGGAAUUGACGGGGACCCGCACAAGCGGUGGAUGAUGUUCUUUAAUUCGAUGCAACGCGAAAAACCUUACCCACCUUUGACAUGUAUGGAAUCCUUUAGAGAUGAAGGAGUGCUCGAAAGAGAGCCAUAACACAGGUGCUGCAUGGCU
rnacentral:rRNA from 1 species